UGACUGCGCCGAUUUCCUCUGCCAUUUUCGUGCAGGUUAGUUGAGAUCAACCAACCAAGAAAAGAUUUGAGUUUGACCAUGGAGGAUUACGGGCGAUCCGGUUGUUGUCUUGGAAUUACUAUGGUCGCUUGGGAACAGCCGAUGAAGUGCCUCUCAUGCUCUCAUCUAUUUCUUCUCAAGAGCAUCGCAAGUGGUAUUUCAUCUGUAUCUCAAAACUGUGACUCCACCAUGGAUUAUAGAAGUUCACACAAACAGCACAGCCAAAUCUAGUUCAUCAAACAUGAUGCCAACAAUUGUGGAAUAUAUUCGAUUACAGCAGCUAACCAACGGCAGCAGCAUCUACAGUAUCAGUCCCAUUCCACAGUGAAAUCACUCUCACGCUUUGUUUCUGUGCCUCGUUAUCUCGACGCCCAGAUAGUCCACAACGCCUUGCACCGCGACGUGAGGUUUGCCAAUCUUCACCCGGACGGCGGAGAUCUGAGGGAACUUGAGCAGCGUGGCCUUUGCGAUCGACUGAGCCACCGACUCCAAGAGGUUGUGCGGCGUGCCUUCGACGACAUCCUUAGCAAUCCUGCAGAGGAGGCGCAAAGCAGAAAUUCAGUAUCAGGAAAUCUCUGAAGACACAUUAUUGGGGACAGAAAUUUGGACUCUGAAGGAAACCAGAUAGAGCAACACAUGAGCACAUGACACAUUUGGGAUCAGUGUAAAUAAGAACAAUCACAUAUAUCUUUUCAGAAGGGGUGUAAACAGUAAAAUCAAUCACUGAAGGUGCGUAUACGAUGAUGUUAAUGACAAACAGAAAGUGCAAGGUUCCAACUUUGGUGACUAAAUUAAAUUUGGAAAGAAUCAUCCAGAAACGCAUGGGCCUCUGUAAAAUGGUGCUCUCUUUUAUCAACUGAUGAUGAUGAAGCCUCUUGGUUUGCCUGCAGGCUGAAACCUUGAGGUCCUAAAUUUUGAGUAAUACUUGCAUAGCUGAAUGUACAGAGUAAAUUCCAGCAAAAGACUGAAUGAUGUCCACCAAAGCACAAUAAUCUCCUUGCCCUUCAGUCAAUCAAUCAUACUAAAUGGCGCGGCAGGUCAGGACGAACUGAGCUCAAAGAAUGGAAUGGUGUACGGCAAGGCUGAAUUUACUUGCGAGCAUGUUCAAUUCAAGGUAUCCAACUUGCAAAGCAAACUGUAACCACACAAGCAUAGCAUGUUGACGGUUCAUCGAGGUCCCCGAAAGGUGAUUGAUUCUAGAAUCUAACCGUCGUCAUCAGUACUAGGAACUAGGAAGCACGAACCGAUAGAUGCGGGUGAAUAAGCAGGAAAUUAAGAAGCAGUUCAGCUGCGCGAGAGGAAGCCAAGCCAACC